rnacentral:rRNA from 1 species
GAUGAACGCUGGCGGCGUGCUUAACACAUGCAAGUCGAACGAUGAAGCCCAGCUUGCUGGGUGGAUUAGUGGCGAACGGGUGAGUAACACGUGAGUAACCUGCCCUUAACUCUGGGAUAAGCCUGGGAAACUGGGUCUAAUACCGGAUAGGAGCGUCCACCGCAUGGUGGGUGUUGGAAAGAUUUAUCGGUUUUGGUGGGACUCGCGGCCUAUCAGCUUGUUGGUGGGGUAAUGGCUCACCAAGGCGACGACGGGUAGCCGGCCUGAGAGGGUGACCGGCCACACUGGGACUGAGACACGGCCCAGACUCCUACGGGAGGCAGCAGUGGGGAAUAUUGCACAAUGGGCGCAAGCCUGAUGCAGCGACGCCGCGUGAGGGAUGACGGCCUUCGGGUUGUAAACCUCUUUCAGUAGGGAAGAAGCGAAAGUGACGGUACCUGCAGAAGAAGCACCGGCUAACUACGUG